rnacentral:rRNA from 1 species
GCAGGCGCGAAACCUUUACACUGCACGCAAGUGCGAUAAGGGGACUCCGAGUGCGAGGGCAUAUCGUCCUCGCUUUUCUGUACCGUAGGGUGGUACAGGAACAAGAGCUGGGCAAGACCGGUGCCAGCCGCCGCGGUAAUACCGGCAGCUCAAGUGAUGGCCGAUCUUAUUGGGCCUAAAGCGUCCGUAGCCGGCCUCGCAAGUCCGUCGGGAAAUCCACGCGCCCAACGCGUGGGCGUCCGGCGGAAACUCCGAGGCUUGGGACCGGAAGGCUCGAGGGGUACGUCCGGGGUAGGAGUGAAAUCCCGUAAUCCCGGACGGACCACCGAUGGCGAAAGCACCUCGAGAAGACGGAUCCGACGGUGAGGGACGAAAGCUCGGGUCUCGAACCGGAUUAGAUACCCGGGUAGUCCGAGCCGUAAACGAUGUUCGCUAGGUGUGGCACCGGCUACGAGCCAGUGCUGUGCCGUAGGGAGGCCGUGAAGCGAACCGCCUGGGAAGUACGUCCGCAAGGAUGAAACUUAAAGGAAUUGGCGGGGGAGCACUACAACCGGGGGAGCCUGCGGUUUAAUUGGAUUCAACGCCGG